GCAAACUUGGUCAUUUAGAGGAAGUAAAAGUCGUAACAAGGUUUCCGUAGGUGAACCUGCGGAAGGAUCAUUAACGAGUUAGGGUCUACACGGCCCGACCUCCCAACCCUAUGUGUAUUGAACCUGUGUUGCUUCGGCGGGCCCGUCGUGAGAACGACCGCCGGAGGACCGUCGAGAGGCGUCCUCUGGCCCGCGCCUGCCGGUGGCCUACACCUACAAAACUCUGAAUGAAUCAUGUCUUACGUCUAAGUCAUAUAUCAAAUAAAGCAAAAACUUUCAACAACGGAUCUCUUGGUUCUGGCAUCGAUGAAGAACGCAGC
rnacentral:misc_RNA from 1 species